AGCGAACGCUGGCGGCAGGCCUAACACAUGCAAGUCGAACGAAGUCUUCGGACUUAGUGGCGGACGGGUGAGUAACACGUGGGAACGUGCCUUUAGGUUCGGAAUAACUCAGGGAAACUUGUGCUAAUACCGAAUGUGCCCUUCGGGGGAAAGAUUUAUCGCCUUUAGAGCGGCCCGCGUCUGAUGAGCUAGUUGGUGAGGUAAAGGCUCACCAAGGCGACGAUCAGUAGCUGGGCUGGGAGGAUGAUCAGCCACAUUGGGACUGAGACACGGCCCAAACUCCUACGGGAGGCAGCAGUGGGGAAUCUUGCGCAAUGGGCGAAAGCCUGACGCAGCCAUGCCGCGUGAAUGAUGAAGGUCUUAGGAUUGUAAAAUUCUUUCACCGGGGACGAUAAUGACGGUACCCGGAGAAGAAGCCCCGGCUAACUUCGUGCCAGCAGCCGCCGUAA
rnacentral:rRNA from 1 species